GGACUCGGGGGCUCGUGGUGGGGCGGGGAUGGGGAUGCUGCCUCGCCCACCCCGCGGCGGACUUCAGUAAAUUCCGUUAGAAUCAGAAGAGAACGAACUUUUACGUAGAAGAAAAUGUCUUAAUUUUUGAAGCACGAUUGCCGUGCAAUAAACCACACAUACUUGAAGUGUGCAACUUGAUGAGUUUGGCACAUAUGUGAAGUUUGACAUAUGCAGUCACGCGCCACAUAGGGACACUUUGGUCAACGACGGACCACGUACAGGACAGUGGUCCCAUAAGACACCUACUCAAGAGGAAGGGCUCCAGCUCCAUCCCAUGAAUCAGUGUACUCUGUGAGCAGAAGAGCGUCGCCAAGGAGGAAGAAAAGAUCUGUAAGCAGCGGCAGCAGAAUCGACAGGGUCAUUCCGGGUGCAGGAGGACAGACGGGGCUCCAGCAGGAGGACGACGUGCAUCGCCAGCCAGCCUGCCUGCUUCCCUCUGGAAAGAGGUGGAGGAAGAUUUGGGCCACAGAGAGGCCGGGGAGGAGGCCAUGGAGCAGAAGCUGGAUGCUGCAGCCCAAGCCAAGGAGCCCCCAGAAGCUGGAAGAGGCGCAGGAAACUCACACGCCCAUGUCCGUCUCGUUUAUGAGGCCCCAUAAGCAGCAUCUGGUUGUGACUCCCCAGGGUUGAGAUCCCAUACAGUGGCUGGGCCUCAAAACAUGCCAAAACAUUCUCUCUAAUCCAGCCCCUUUCCUGCCGCUCCCAAGAUGCACCACUGCUGCCAACACCACCAUCGCACCAAAGGGACAGCGGUGGUGUGACAGCUGUUGGGUUCUAAACAUCUGGCAAUGAGCCUUCACAUAGUAAGUGCUAGAUAAAUCUAUCAAUACGACUAAAGUGAGAUCAAAAUGUACAAACACAGGCACUGCCUUCUCAAGGUGUGUGGGCACCCUGGCUGUGUGUCCUUGAGUAAGCUACUUGGCAUCUCUGAG
rnacentral:lncRNA from 1 species